rnacentral:rRNA from 1 species
UUUCCUACGGGGGGCAGCAGUGGGGAAUAUUGCACAAUGGGGGGAACCCUGAUGCAGCGACGCCGCGUGAGUGAAGAAGUAUUUCGGUAUGUAAAGCUCUAUCAGCAGGGAAGAAAAUGACGGUACCUGAAGAAGAAGCCCCGGCUAACUACGUGCCAGCAGCCGCGGUAAUACGUAGGGGGCAAGCGUUAUCCGGAUUUACUGGGUGUAAAGGGGGCGCAGACGGCGAUGCAAGCCAGGAGUGAAAGCCCG